rnacentral:lncRNA from 1 species
UACCACAGGGGGGCACUCACAUGAGCACGUACACCUCCCAGCAGGUGUGUGCAGCUGGGCACAGGGCUGGGCAGGGCUGGCGGGGAGCCGUGCUUUGAAAAGGGGAGAAAAACAAAGGAAGCAAACAAAAGCUGAGAAGAAAAGCUAUGGCAAAGCCAGGUGCCCUUGUGGAGAAGUCCUCUGACAGGAUGAAUCAUGAUCUGGGAGAAUUAAUAGCUGUAGACGGCGUCAGAUUGUGACCAUUAAGAAGAACAAAUAAAGUCUGAGAAAGAUUGGGGCUGCAUAUCGGAGUCCUUGGUCAUAAUACCUUGCAACUGAAAACUGAAAAUUAUUGCUGAAUGGUUCUUCUGUCUAGUCACUUGGAAGAUGAGGCUUUCUGAAGGUGGGAGAAACCUUGCUUAAUCAUGAACUCCAGUAUUCUGUUAGAAUAUAUUUUAAGUCGAAAAUCUUCAACUAGCUUUAGCUAAAUUCUAUUUCUGUGCUGGCAAAAGUCCUCAUAAGAAUGAAGAGAAUGUACAUUAAGCAAUAGGCCCAAGCGUUAGAUAAAAGUGUCUUGUAAUGGGUUAAAUUAAUUUUUAAUUUUGCUUGCCAAUUGGAAGGUAUAAUAAAACAUAUCCCCAAACCA